CCUACGGGAGGCAGCAGUGAGGAAUAUUGGUCAAUGGACGUAAGGCUGAACCAGCCAAGUAGCGUGAAGGAUGACUGACCUAUGGGUUGUAAACUUCUUUUAUAUGGGAAUAAAAGUUUCCACGUGUGGGUUUUUGUAUGUACCAUAUGAAUAAGUAUCGGCUAACUCCGUGCCAGCAGCCGCGGUAAUACGGAGGAUCCGAGCGUUAUCCGGAUUUAUUGGGUUUAAAGGGUGCGUAGGUGGUUUGUUAAGUCAGCGGUGAAAGUUUGUGGCUCAACCCUAAAAUUGCCGUUGAAACUGGCAGUCUUGAGUACGGUAGAGGUGGGCGGAAUGCGUGGUGUAGCGGUGAAAUGCUUAGAUAUCACGAAGAACUCCGAUUGCGAAGGCAGCUUACUGGGCUAUAACUGACACUGAGGCACGAAAGCGUGGGUAUCAAACAGGAUUAGAUACCCGGGUAGUC
rnacentral:rRNA from 1 species